GUGAGGAAUAUUGCGCAAUGGAGGCAACUCUGACGCAGCCAUGCCGCGUGCAGGAAGAAGGCGCUACGCGUUGUAAACUGCUUUUAACCGGGAAGAAACCCCAGGACGUGUCCUGGGUUGACGGUACCGGAGGAAUAAGCACCGGCUAACUUCGUGCCAGCAGCCGCGGUAAAACGAAUGGUGCAAGCGUUAUCCGGAUUCAUUGGGUUUCAAGGGUGCGUAGGCGGAGCGUUAAGUCAGUGGUGAAAUCCUGCAGCUUAACUGUAGACUUGCCAUUGAUACUGGCGCUCUUGAGUGCGCUUGAAGUGGGCGGAAUGUGCCGUGUAGCGGUGAAAUGCUUAGAUAUGGCACAGAACACCAAUUGCGAAGGCAGCUCACUAAGGCGAUACUGACGCUGAGGCACGAAAGCGUGGGGAUCGAACAGGAUUAGAUACCCUAGUAGUCC
rnacentral:rRNA from 1 species